rnacentral:rRNA from 1 species
UAGAGUUUGAUCAUGGCUCAGGCUUGGAUCAUCCUCCUUAGNAGUUUGAUCCUGGCUCAGGUUGGAACACCUCCUUAGAGUUUGAUCAUGGCUCAGAUUGAACGCUGGCGGCAGGCUUAACACAUGCAAGUCGAGCGGAGAGAGGUAGCUUGCUACUGAUCUUAGCGGCGGACGGGUGAGUAAUGCUUAGGAAUCUGCCUAUUAGUGGGGGACAACAUUUCGAAAGGAAUGCUAAUACCGCAUACGUCCUACGGGAGAAAGCAGGGGAUCUUCGGACCUUGCGCUAAUAGAUGAGCCUAAGUCGGAUUAGCUAGUUGGUGGGGUAAAGGCCUACCAAGGCGACGAUCUGUAGCGGGUCUGAGAGGAUGAUCCGCCACACUGGGACUGAGACACGGCCCAGACUCCUACGGGAGGCAGCAGUGGGGAAUAUUGGACAAUGGGCGCAAGCCUGAUCCAGCCAUGCCGCGUGUGUGAAGAAGGCCUUAUGGUUGUAAAGCACUUUAAGCGAGGAGGAGGCUACUUUUAGAUAAUACCUAGAGAUAAGUGGGGACCGGUAAACUCCGGCAGAAAUAAAAGCAACCGGCGUAAACCUCUUGUUGCCACAGCAGACCGGCGGGGAAANAACCAGAAGGGGUGCCACAAGCGGUUAAACCGGAAUAUAACCGGGNCGGUAAAAGACGGCCGCGUNAAGGCGGNAAAUAAGGCCCACAGGUGGGAUUCUCCCCCGGAGCCUUUAACCUUGGGGGAAUUGGCGUUUCCGGCUACUGGGGUUUGCCUACUUNUGGGAACGGUNGGUUGGANUUCCCGGUUUCGGGAAUGGUUUCGCUAUCUNCGGCAGNAUCCCUCUGUUCGACGGGUUNGUGUCUGUANUCGUNGGUCUGUGGGUGAUCAUANUGGGGGUACGGANAUACCUNGUUUUCGCCGNGCGUUUAGCNUGGNCGGNGGUU